CAGUCGCCACGGUAAUACGUAGGGUGCGAGCGUUAAUCGGAAUUACUGGGCGUAAAGCGUGCGCAGGCGGUUCGUUAAGACAGAUGUGAAAUCCCCGGGCUUAACCUGGGAACUGCAUUUGUGACUGGCGAGCUAGAGUAUGGCAGGGGGGGGUAGAAUUCCACGUGUAGCAGUGAAAUGCGUAGAGAUGUGGAGGAAUACCGAUGGCGAAGGCAGCCCCCUGGGCCAAUACUGACGCUCAUGCACGAAAGCGUGGGAAGCAAACAGGAUUAGAUACCCCCGUAGUCCCUGUCUCUUAUAC
rnacentral:rRNA from 1 species